CAGAUCCUGAGCUCUUCCUGUAAUUAUCUUCCUCAGGAGCCUCCGCAUGACUUUUCCAGACCGAGUUUUUGGAAGACGCUUCACAACCUGGCAAGGAAAGGGUGUGGAAUUCAAGUUCAGGUGGUGCGCAUACUCCCAGCAGUGUCCAGCUGCACUGGGGUAACAGCAAGGGAUGACACCCUUGCUGGGGGCUCAGGAAUGAAUGACUGAGAUGCCAGGCCUGCCCCAAAGAUAUGGAGACCUGUGGUCUCUGGUUAUAUCUUCACACCAUCUGGACCUAAAGCUGAAAUCAACCUGAAGGGCAGAAUCAACCACACAUCAGGGGUUUGCUGAAGCCUUCCCCCAGGUCAGGUCUGUCCAUACCUGGGUCUGCCUCACUGCUGAUACCUCUGUCUCCUGUUCACUACAUUAAUGAGGGCUCCCAGAUAGCAACAGAACCAAGUAUAUGCCAUGGCACCUCGUCUCCACCCACUGGCCUGGCCCAAAGUGGCUUUUUGCUGACAUAAGUGGUAAGAGCUACUUCAGACAAAAAUGUUGUCUUGCUUAGUAUUUGAAAAUUCAGCAUUUUCAAACAGCCAUGGCCCCUUUAAUGUCAACAGCAACAUGCUAAGAGCUAUGUUUGGGGCUUAUUUAACAGUGACCUAUCUUUUGAAAGGGGAGUUCAGGUCUCCCUAAAACUCUGGUCACCAAACAACUUGACUUCAUAUGACACCAGGGGAAGCUAGGGCCAUUCCCAUCUCAGAGGACCUCCUCUGAACCAAGGAAGACUGUGGGGGGAAAUGUUAACAAAGGAAGGAGUGGAAACCUAAUAAGGCUGGAGAAUGGGCCCCUUUCUUCCCCAGACCUGACUCUAACACAAACCCUCUCAGGCAGGGUCUGGCAAUGUCUCCUGCACUGACACCAGGAGAUAUGUUCAGAAUCUAACUUGGGCUGGGGAACACUGGUACUUUCCCCAUGUUUCUCUAUUUAAAAUCUCUUAUGAAUAAGGCAGAGACUUAGACAAAAUGCAACAAUGGAGGAAUUUAUCCCAAAUGCAAGAAUAAGGUAAGUCCAUGGCCAGAGAUCUAAGUGGAACAUAUAUAAGUAACAUGCCUUAUAAGAUAUAAGUAACAUGCCUGAUGGAGAAUGUAAAGCAACAAUCCUAAGGAUACUCACUGGGCUUGAGAAAGAAUAGAAAACAUCAGUGAGACCCUGACCACAGAGAUAACAGACUUAAAAAGGAAUCAACCAGAGAUGAAGAACUCAAUACUCAAGAUUGGAAACAGGCUUAAUGCAAUGAACAGCAGACUGGAAGAGGCAGAGGAAUGAAUUGGUGACUUAGAAGACAAAAUAAUGGAAAAUAAUGAAGCUGAACAAAGGAGUCCCAGAAGAAGAGGAGAGAGAAAAGGGGGCAGACAUUUUUUUUUGAAGAAAUGAAAGCUGAAAACUUUCCUAAUCUAGGGAAGGAAACAGACAUCGAGAUCAAGGAGGCACAGAGAACUCCCAUCAAAAUCAACAAAAGCAGGCCAACACCAAGACCUAUUAUAAUUAAAUUUGCAAAAUAUAGUGAGAAAGAAAAAUCCUAAAAGCAGCAAGAAAGAAAGUCUUCAACUUGUUUUUUUUUUUAAUUUUUUUUUAACGUUUAUUUAUUUUUUGAGACAGAGAGAGAGCAUGAAUGGGGGAGGGGCAGAGAGAGAGGGAGACACAGAAUCAGAAGCAGGCUCCAGGCUCUGAGCCAUCAGCCCAGAGCCCGAUGCGGGGCUCGAACCCAUGGACCGCGAGAUCGUGACCUGAGCUGAAGUCGGACGCUUAACCGACUGAGCCACCCAGGCACCCCAGAAAGUCCUCAACUUGUAAGGGAAGACCCAUAAAGCUAGCUACAGAUCUGUCCUCAGAAACUUGGCAGACCAUGAUAUAUUCAACAUGCUUAUUGGGAAAAAUCUGUAGCCAACAACACUCCAUCCAGCAAGGCUACCAUUCAGAGCAGAAAGAGAGAUAAAGAGUUUCUCAGACAGACAAAAACUAAAGAAGUCUGUGACCACUAAACCAGCCCUGCAAGAAAUAUUAAAAGGGGACUCUGAGUGGAAAAGAAGGACCAAAAGUGACAAAGACAAGAAAGGAUCAGAGAAAAUCUCCAGAUACAAUGACAAAACAAGUAAUAAAAUGGCAAUAAGUAUAUAUCUAUCAAAAAUUACUUUGAGGGGCGCCUGGGUGGCUCAGUCUGUUGAGCGUCCAACUUCAGCUCAGUUUCAUGAUCUCACAGUCUGUGAGUUCAAGCCCUGCGUUGGGCUCUGUGCUGAUAGUGACAGCUCAGAGCCUGGAGCCUGCUUAGGAUUCUGUGUCUCCCUCUCUCUCUGACCCUCCCCCAUUCAUGCUCUGUCUCUCUCUGUCUCAAAAAUAAAUAAACAUUUUUAAAAAAUUAAAAAAAUAAAAAAAUUACUUUGAAUUUAAAUAAACUAAACACUCCAAUCAAAAGACACAGAGUGACAGAAUGGAUAAAAAAAAAAAAAAAGACCCAUCUAUAUGCUGCUUACAAGAGACACAUUUUAGAUAUAAAGCCACCCUGCAUAUUAAAAGUGAGGGGAUGGAGAAAUAUUUACCAUGCAAAUGGAUGUCAAAAGAAAGCCAGAGUAGCAAUUCAUAUUUUGGACAAAACAGAUUUUAAAACAAAGACUAUAACAAGAGACAAGGAUACUAUAUAAUCAUAAAGGGGAUAAUCCAACAAGAAGAUAUAAUAAUUGUAAGUAUUUAUUCUCCCAAUAUUGGGAGCACCCCAAUAUAUAAGACAAUAACAAAAAUAAAGGAACUAAUUAAUAAUAAUACAAUAAUAAUAGGGGACUUUAACACCCCACUUACAUCAAUGGACAGAUCACCUAAACAGAAAAUCAACAAGGAAACAAUAGCUUUGAAUGACACACUGGACCAGAUGGACUUAACAGAUAUAUUUAGAACAUUUCAUCCUAAAGCAGCAGAAUACACAUUCUUUUUGAGUGCACAUUAGACAUUCUCCAGAAUAGAUCACAUAAUAAGUCAUAAAACAGGUCUCAGCAAGUACAAAUACACUAAGAUCAUACCAUGCAUGUUUUCUGAUCACAACACUAUGAAACUAGAGGUCAACCGCAAGAAAAAAAAUUGGAAAGACAACAAAUACAUGGAGAUUAAACAACAUGCUACUAAAGAAUGAAUUGGUCAACCAGGAAAUCAAAGAAGAAAUAAAAAAAUAUAUGGAAGCAAAUGAAGAUGAAAACACGUUGGUCUAAAACUUUUGUGAUGCAGCAAAAGUGGUUCUAAGAGGGAAGUAUGUAGCAAUACAGGUCUACCUCAAGAAGCGAGAAAAAUCUCAAAUAAACAACCUAACCUUACACUCAAAGGACCUAGAAAAAGAACAAUAAAUGAAGCCUAAAGCCAGCAUAAGAAGGGAAAUAAGAUUAGAGAAAAGAUAAAUGGUAUAGAAACUAAAACAAAAUAAAUAAUAAAACAGGUUCAUGAAACCAGGAGCUGACUCUUUGAAAGAAUUAACAAAAUUGAUAAACCCCUGGCCAGACUUCUCAAAAAGAAAAGAGAAAGGACCCAAAUAAAUAAAAUCACAAAUGAGAGAGGAAAGAUAACAACCAACACCACAGAAAUACAAACAGUACUAUAAGAGAACAUGAAAAAUUAUAUGUCAAAAAUCUGGAUAAUCUGGAAAAAAAUGCACAAAUUCUUAGAAACAUAAAAACUACCAAAACUGAAACAGGAAGAAAUAGAAAACUUGAACAGACCAAUAACCAUCAAAGAAAAUAAAUCAGUAAUCAAAAACUGCCAACAAACAAAAAGUCCAGUGCCAGAUGACUUCACAGAUGAAUUCUACUAAACAUUUAAGGAAGACUUAAUACCUAUUCUUCUCAAACCAUUCCAAAAAAUAAAAAAGGAAAGAAAACUUCCAAAUUCAUUCUAUGAGGCCAGCAUUAUCCUCUUACCAAAACCAGAUAAAGAUUCCACUAAAAAAGAGAACUACAGGCCAAUAUCCCUAAUGAACAUGGAUGCAAAAAUUCUCAAUAAAAUCCUAGUAAAUUGAAUCCAACAAUACAUUAAAAGAAAUACCAUGAUCAAGUGGGAUAUAUUCCUGGGCUGCAAGGGUGGUUCAAUACUUACAAAUCAAGCAAUGUGAUACACCAUAUUAAUAAAAGAAAAGAUAAAAACCAUAUGAUCAUUUCAAUAGAUCCAGAAAAAACAUCUGACAAAAUACAGCAUCUAUUCGUGAUAAAAAACCAUCAACAAAGUAGGUUGAGAGGGAACACACAUCAACAUAAUAAAGGUCAUAUAUGAAAAGCUAACAUCAUCCUCAAAGAGGAAAAACUCUCAGUUUUUCCUCUAUGGUCAAGAACAUGUCCACUCUCACUGCAGUUAAUUAACAUAGUACUGGAAAUCCUAGCCACAGCAAGUAGACACCAAAAAGAAAUAAAAGGCAUCUAAAUCAGCAAGGAAAAAAGUAAAAUGUUCACUAUCUACAGACAACAUGAUACUCUAUAUAGAAAACCUGAAAUACUCCACCAAAACAUUGCUAGAACUGAUACACAAAUUCAGUAAAGUCAUGGGACACAAAAUCAACAUACAGAAAUCUGUUGCAUUUCUUUUUUUUUAAGUCUUUAUGUAUUUAUUUUGAGAGAGAGAGAGAGAGAAAGAGCACCAGGGAGGGGCAGAAAGGAGGGAGAGAGAAUUCCAAGCAGUCUCUGCACUGUCAGCGUGAAGCCCAACAUGGGGCUCAAACCCAUGAACUGUGAGAUCAUGAUCUGAACUGAAAUCAAGAGUUGGACGCUUAAACAACUGAGCCACCCAGGUGCCCCUGUUAAAUUUCUUUAAACCAAUAAUGAAGCAGCAGAAAGGGAAACUAAGGAAUCAAUCCCAUUUACAAUUGCACCCAAAACCAUAAGAUACAGAGGAAUAAUCCUGACCAAAAAGGUGAAAAACCUGUAUUCUGAAAACUAUAAAACACUGAUGAAAGAAACUGAAGAUGACAUCAAGAAAUAGAAAGACAUUCCAUGCUCAUGAGUUGGAAGAACAAAUACUGUUGAAAUGUCUAUACUACCCAAAGCAAUCUGCACAUUUAAUGCAGUCCCUAUCAAAAUACCAACAGGAUUUUUUCACAAGAACUAGAACAAACAAUCCUAAAAUUUGUAUGGAACCACAAAAGGCCCUGAAGAGCCAAA